rnacentral:rRNA from 1 species
UACGAAGGGGGCUAGCGUUGCUCGGAAUCACUGGGCGUAAAGGCGCGUAGGCGGCCGUUCAAGUCGGGGGUGAAAGCCUGUGGCUCAACCACAGAAUUGCCUCGAUACUGUACGGCUCGAGACCGGAAGAGGUGAGUGGAACUGCGAGUGUAGAGGUGAAAUUCGUAGAUAUUCGCAAGAACACCAGUGGCGAAGGCGGACUCACUGGCCCGGUACUGGACGCUGAGGUGCGAAAGCGUGGGGAG